rnacentral:rRNA from 1 species
AGUCGAACGGUAACAGGAAGAAGCUUGCUUCUUUGCUGACGAGUGGCGGACGGGUGAGUAAUGUCUGGGAAACUGCCUGAUGGAGGGGGAUAACUACUGGAAACGGUAGCUAAUACCGCAUAACGUCGCAAGACCAAAGAGGGGGACCUUCGGGCCUCUUGCCAUCGGAUGUGCCCAGAUGGGAUUAGCUAGUAGGUGGGGUAACGGCUCACCUAGGCGACGAUCCCUAGCUGGUCUGAGAGGAUGACCAGCCACACUGGAACUGAGACACGGUCCAGACUCCUACGGGAGGCAGCAGUGGGGAAUAUUGCACAAUGGGCGCAAGCCUGAUGCAGCCAUGCCGCGUGUAUGAAGAAGGCCUUCGGGUUGUAAAGUACUUUCAGCGGGGAGGAAGGGAGUAAAGUUAAUACCUUUGCUCAUUGACGUUACCCGCAGAAGAAGCACCGGCUAACUCCGUGCCAGCAGCCGCGGUAAUACGGAGGGUGCAAGCGUUAAUCGGAAUUACUGGGCGUAAAGCGCACGCAGGCGGUUUGUUAAGUCAGAUGUGAAAUCCCCGGGCUCAACCUGGGAACUGCAUCUGAUACUGGCAAGCUUGAGUCUCGUAGAGGGGGGUAGAAUUCCAGGUGUAGCGGUGAAAUGCGUAGAGAUCUGGAGGAAUACCGGUGGCGAAGGCGGC